rnacentral:rRNA from 1 species
UACGUAGGGGGCAAGCGUUGUCCGGAAUCAUUGGGCGUAAAGCGCGUGUAGGCGGUCCGGUAAGUCGGCUGUGAAAGUCCAGGGCUCAACCCUGGGAUGCCGGUCGAUACUGCCGGACUAGAGUUCGGAAGAGGCGAGUGGAAUUCCCGGUGUAGCGGUGAAAUGCGCAGAUAUCGGGAGGAACACCAAUGGCGAAGGCAGCUCGCUGGGACGUUACUGACGCUGAGGCGCGAAAGCCAGGGGAGCAAACGGG